rnacentral:rRNA from 1 species
CAUGGCGAAGUCCAGAAGCUUUUCGGAAGCUUCGGCGUACCGCUUCAGUAACACGUGGGGUAACCUCACCUAUGCAGGGGAAUAACCUCGGGAACUGAGUAUAUCGCCCCAUAGUCCACUACGCCUGGAACGGUGAGUGGAUCAAAGCUCAGGCGGCAUAGGAUGGGCCUGCGGCGUAUCAGGUUGUAGGGGGUGUAAAGUACCCUCUAGCCAUCUACGCGUACGGGUGUUGGGAGACAUAGCCCGGAGAUGGAUUCUGAGACACGAAUCCAGACCCUACGGGGUGCAGCAGGCGCGAAAACUUGACAAUGCGAGCAAUCGUGAUCAGGGAACUCCAAGUGGCUGGGGUAAGACCCAGUCUUUUCAUAACUCUUCAAAGGUUGUAGAAUAAGGGGUGGGUAAGGACGGUGCCAGCCGCCGCGGUAAUACCGGCGCCUCAAGUGGUAGUCGCUUUUAUUGGGCCUAAAACGUCCGUAGCCGGUUUGGUACAUUCGUGGGUAAAUCAGCUCGCUCAACGAGUUGAAUUCUGCGAGGACGGCCAGACUUGGGACCGGGAGAGGUGUGGGGUACUCUCAGGUAGGGGUAAAAUCCUGUCAUCCUGAGAGGACCACCUGUUGCGAAGGCGCCACACUAGAACGGAUCCGACGGCCAGGGACGAAGCCUAGGGGCACGAACCGGAUUAGAUACCCGGGUAGUCCUAGCUGUAAACGCUGUGGACUUGAUGUUGGAGAAGCCUCCGAGCUUCUUCAGUGUCGAAGCGAAGGUGAUAGUCCACUGCCUGGGAAGUACGGUCCGCAAGGCUGAAACUUCAAAGG